rnacentral:rRNA from 1 species
AACAUGUCUGUAUGAAAAGUAAUUAUAAAGUCUAACCUGCCCACUGAGUUUUAAAGGGCCGCAGUAAUUUGACUGUGCGAAGGUAGCAUAAUCAGUAGUCUUUUAAUUGGAGGCUUGUAUGAAUGGUUGAAUAAAAGAAAGGCUGUCUUUUUUUUAAAAUUAAAAUUUAACUUUUAAGUGAAAAGGCUUAAAUUGGUUAGAGGGACGAUAAGACCCUGUAAAACUUUAUAUAGUUCAAUUAAUAUUUAGAAAUUUAGAGAAAUAAAAUAAUAGUUGGAUUAUAUUUCGUUGGGGAGAUGUUGAUAUAAUUUGUAACUGUUAGAUAAAUUAUAAUAAUUAUAAUUAAAGUUUGAUCCUUCCUUGAGGAAUAAAAAAUUAAGUUACUUUAGGGAUAACAGCGUGAUUUUCUUUGAGAGUUCUUAUCGACAAGAAUAGUUGCGACCUCGAUGUUGAAUUAAAAUUACCUUUAGGUGUAGCUGCUUAAGUUGGUAGGUCUGUUCGACCUAUAAAAUUUUACAUGAUUUGAGUUCAAACCGGUGUGAGCCA